GAUGAACGCUGGCGGCGUGCCUAAUACAUGCAAGUCGAGCGAACAGACGAGGAGCUUGCUCCUCUGACGUUAGCGGCGGACGGGUGAGUAACACGUGGAUAACCUACCUAUAAGACUGGGAUAACUUCGGGAAACCGGAGCUAAUACCGGAUAAUAUAUUGAACCGCAUGGUUCAAUAGUGAAAGACGGUUUUGCUGUCACUUAUAGAUGGAUCCGCGCCGCAUUAGCUAGUUGGUAAGGUAACGGCUUACCAAGGCAACGAUGCGUAGCCGAACUGAGAGGGUGAUCGGCCACACUGGAACUGAGACACGGUCCAGACUCCUACGGGACGCAGCAGUAGGGAAUCUUCCGCAAUGGGCGAAAGCCUGACGGAGCAACGCCGCGUGAGUGAUGAAGGUCUUCGGAUCGUAAAACUCUGUUAUUAGGGAAGAACAAAUGUGUACGUAACUAUGCACGUCUUGACGGUACCUAAUCAGAAAGCCACGGCUAACUACGUG
rnacentral:rRNA from 1 species